rnacentral:rRNA from 1 species
UACGUAGGGGGCUAGCGUUGUCCGGAAUCAUUGGGCGUAAAGCGCGCGUAGGCGGCCCGGUAAGUCCGUUGUGAAAGUCAAAGGCUCAACCUUUGAAUGCCGAUGGAUACUGCCGGGCUCGAGUCCGGAAGAGGCGAGUGGAAUUCCUGGUGUAGCGGUGGAAUGCGCAGAUAUCAGGAGGAACACCAAUAGCGAAGGCAGCGCGCUGGGACGGUACUGACGCUAAGGCGCGAAAGCGUGGGGAGCGAACAGG